rnacentral:tRNA from 3 species
UGGUAGAGCGCACCCUUGGUAAGGGUGAGGUCCCCAGUUCGACUCUGGGUAUCAGCACCA